CAAGACAUUGGCCACUUACUCCUUGUGAUGGUACUGAACAAGCAGAGAAGGCAGAAUCCCCCCCACUAUGGAUUUCUCACUCCUGUGAACAAAUGUCCACCCCCUUCCCAACUGCAAGAGGACUCACGCUGUUCUCAGCCUGAGGCAGAGAAGCUCUUCAGUAGAAGGCAGCAGCUAUUGCACAGACUCCUACAUGGUCAGAAUAUGGGGAACAAGAGUGAGCCCUCAGCCUUAAAUGUCUUAAAUCUGUCAUACACACCCAAGGCCCAGGGAACAUUUGCAGAAGGAGGGCAGAAAAACAAAGAAACAAACAAACAAACAGAAAAACAAGAGCAGGAGGACAGGAAGGGGUGUCAGGAACUGCUUCUGUACAGAUCUAGCAUUGCUGUUGAAACCAUGAGCACACAGCAGCUAUGGAUACCUGCAGAAGACUUGGGCCACAGGAGCUCCCAUCUCUGUUGAAGAACUAAAGGCAGAAUCCAGACUUAUGCUAUAUGACAUGAAAGUUGAAGGGCGACCAAUGUCAGGGGAGAAAUGGCACCCAGCCGUGGUGAGGAAGAGAGAAUAUUGGGGCAGAACCCACUACACGUCAGGCGUGUUGCCAAGUGUUGGAGAGGAUAUACAGUUGAAGAAAUUCCCUUUCCAGGCUGAGGCUGCCGAAGCCCAUAAAGAAGGUCAACUAAUGAUGGCACCGCAUGUCAAAAAGAACAUAGGAAA
ensembl:lincRNA Gm30852 predicted gene, 30852